rnacentral:rRNA from 1 species
UUGAAGUCGAGAAUGAAAGGAAAAAUUAAAGUAAACUGUCUUAAAAGUUUUUUUUGGAAAUUAUUAAUAUGGUGAAAAUUCCAUAAUAAAUUUUAAUAGUCGAGAAGACCCUAUGAAUUAUUAUUAAAAAUUUUAUUUAAAAAUUUUAAAUUUUUGUUGGGGCAACAAAAAUUUUUAAUACUAAAGAAGUUUUAUAAGUUAAUCUUACAUUUGAAAUUUUAUUAUAAAUGAAUUUAAUU